AAUGAUUCAAGCCCUUCUUAGACUUGACACAUUAAAAAUGGUUUCACUUUACUUAAAUAUUUUUAUUUAAGAAAUAAACCUAAGUAUAGUUCAUUAGUGUAACACAAAUUACAUUAAUCAAUUCACUUAUUAAAUGUAUUUAAGACAGAGCAACUCAAAAUGAAUUGUUUUCAUUGGGGACCGCCCCUUUGCACACCCCCUUUGCGUAUGCGCAACAUCCGUUCUGUCAUUUGCCGCCUUUUGUCUAACACUGACUGUGGAAACUGACUGGGGAAACUGACGGUGGAAAGUCUAUUAUUUGGUAAGUAUUUGUUUUUUCUAGUAGUUUAGAAUGUUCCCUGUUUCCAAGUAAUGCCUUUUCAUAAUAUCGACAAGAAUAUUUGAAACCACCGUGUUAUAUUUUGCUCCGUUUUUAGUUGGGUCUAAACAGCAAGCUAGCUAGCUUGCUAGAUAUGGUUAGCAUUGAAUACUGGAUAGUAGAGAUCAUUAGAUUAUAUUACAUUAGAUUUAACGUUAUUGUCAUUGAACACAGUACACCGAAAUUCAGUUUAAGUUCAACCAAAAAAUGCAACGAGUAAUUAAAGUGCAUGAGGUAAAGCGGCAAGCUAGCUAGCCAGAUAACUGGUUUGUUAGCUAGCUUGCUAGAUACGGUUAGCAUUGGAUACUGGAUAAUGGAGAUCAUUAGAUUAUAUUACAUUCGAUUUAAUGUUAUUGUCAUUGAACACAGUACACCGAAAUUCAGUUUAAAUUCAACCAAAAAAUGCAAAGAGUAAUUAAAGUGCAUGAGGCAAGCUAGCUAGCCAAAUAACUGGUUUGUUAGCUAGCUUGCUAGAUACGGUUAGCAUUGGAUACUGGAUAAUGGAGAUCAUUAGAUUAUAUUACAUUCGAUUUAACGUUAUUGUCAUUGAACACAGUACACCGAAAUUCAGUUUAAAUUCAACCAAAAAAUGCAAAGAGUAAUUCAAGUGAAUGAGGUAACAGUAUAGGAGGCAGAGCCUGCAUGCAGCCCAGCAAGGGCUGCCAUUUUCUAUCAUAAAGCUCAGCAGGUGUGUCCAUCUCUCUCCUGGCCUUAGUGCAGGCAGGCAGAGGAGGACAGGCGGAGCCACUCGUUUCUGUAGGAGUUCAGUUGAGUUUAGUUUUUUACUGCCAAAUAUUUAAUAUAAAUAAUGAGAUAAUAUAUAUGUGAAUCUUGUAUGGGUUACUUCACUCACAAGCAGGCACCCAGAGUUGUGCAGAAACGUUUUUUGGGUUGUGCAAUCUUAGGCAAUUAUGUGUUUUCUGUGAAAAUUCAAAUAUAUAAGCAUUUUAAUCACACCUCUAAAAUAUAUUUGUUGUCUUUUGCAGUUUGAUCAGCAUUAACAAGCACCUUGUGGAAACCUCUUAUUUAUGGUUAUGCAUGUGGCAGUGCAAACACUGCAGUUUGGAACUAGCUAGCAGAUUAAAAGGUGUUCCAUAACGGCAGGUCGGGCGCUUCUGCGCAUCAUCUUUGCCGACCAGUCUGACUCUAGAAAACUGACCCUGGAUUCGGGAAUCCCAGCAACAGUUGAAGAACUGCACACAUUUGUCAAGACAUCUCUUCAAUUGAAAGAGGACUUCCGUCUGCAAUACAUGGAUGUUGACUUUAACGAGUUCAUGAAUCUUACAUCAGUGUCUGAAAUUCAGGAUAAAAGCACACUGAAAGUAAUUUACUCUCCUAUAUUGUCAAAUAUUGAGCCCUCCAUCACUUAGUACACAGUUGACUCAUUUGAUAAGACCUCAAUUACUGGAAGCUCAGAGUCUCUAAUCCCUGCAUCAUCAAUAGCCUCAUGCUGCAGUGAUGAUAUGGUGUAUACGUCAACCCCGCAUCCAUCCCCUGAAGCUCAGGCCUCACAAUUGUUAUCCUGGCCCACAGUUUUUGUGGUUCCUAAGCUCACCUACGAGGCUGAAUUUGAGCUUCAUCUACAGAAUGCAGAGUUUGAGACAACUGGUACAUACUUCCAGCCUGGCCUAAAGCUGAAAGGAGUCAUUCUUGAUGGCCUAGCCCAAGAAAUGAUCAAAUUCACAAAAUAUCCAAAAGACUAUCAGUGUGAAGAGGUAGCUGCAGCGUUGACGAGGGCCCACCCUUGUUUGGGGCAGCUAGGAUCCAAGAUAGGAUUU